rnacentral:lncRNA from 1 species
UUUUCACAGGUGAAACAAGAAGAGCUGGAGUCCAUAUACAAUGUUUCCACAGUGAUGCAGUUUGUGCUCUUAGGAUUUUCUGACCUGCCCAACCUCCAAGGAUUUCUAUAUGCAUUGUUUUUUUGUAGUUUUUAUUAUUAUCCUAAUUUGAAAUUUCCUCAUAAUACUAGUAACCUGUAUGGACCCUGCAUUACAGAAAUCCAUUUAUUUAUUUCUGGCAUACUUUUCCUCUCUAGAAAUCUGUUAUGUAUCAGUUACUCUCCCAAAGACUCUGUUCUGCAUUGAGAUGCAGUACCGAACUAUUUCUUUGAUGCCCUGUGCCAUACAACUGUGCUUCUUCCUUAUUUUUGGAAGUACUGAAUGUUUUCUGUUGACUGGGAUGUACUAAGACCGCUACAUGUCCAUAUGUAACCCUCUGCACUAUCCUCUGGUUAUGAACCCAAAAAAUUGCAAAGAGCUGGCUGCAGUCUCCUGGUUUGGAGGCAUCCCAGUACAGAUAGUACAAACGUAUCAGGUAUUCUCUAUGCGUUUUUGUAAUUCUAAUCAAAUAUACCACUUCUUCUGUGACAUACCACCAAUUCUCAAGCUGCAUGUGGGGACACUUCAGUGCAUGAACUGCCUGUCUUUGUGGUUGUUUCAGUGGUGGUUGCUCUCCCAUUUAUACUGUUGCUUACAUCCUCCAGCAAAAUCAUUGCCACCAUCCUGAGGUUGCCAACAGCCAAAGGUCGGGCAAGAGCCUUCUCCACGUGUUAUUCCCCUACUGGUGGUACUGUUGCUUUAUGGAUCUGCUACAGUUACUAGAGACCAACAUCCUUGUGUUCCUCUAGAACUGACAAACUGUUCUCACUGUUCUAUGCAGUUGUGAUUCCUAUGUUAAAUCCUCUGAUAUACAGCCUAAGGAACAAGGAGGUGACUGCUGCACUCAGAAAGUUAAUAC